CCCUGCCAUUUGUACACACCGCCCGUCGCACCUACCGAUUGAAUGGUCCGGUGAAAUCUUCGGAUCGGAGCUUUGAUUUGUUUACGCAAAACGCUGUUCCGAGAAGUUGAUUAAACCUUACCAUUUAGAGGAAG
rnacentral:rRNA from 1 species